AGCAUAUCAAUAAGCGGAGGAAAAGAAACCAACCGGGAUUGCCCUAGUAACGGCGAGUGAAGCGGCAAGAGCUCAAAUUUGAAAGCUGGCCCCCUCGGGGUCCGCAUUGUAAUUUGCAGAGGAUGCUUCGGGAGCGGUCCCCAUCUAAGUGCCCUGGAACGGGCCGUCAUAGAGGGUGAGAAUCCCGUAUGGGAUGGGGUGCCCGCGCCCGUGUGAAGCUCCUUCGACGAGUCGAGUUGUUUGGGAAUGCAGCUCUAAUUGGGUGGUAAAUUUCAUCUAAAGCUAAAUAUUGGCCGGAGACCGAUAGCGCACAAGUAGAGUGAUCGAAAGAUGAAAAGCACUUUGAAAAGAGAGUUAAACAGCACGUGAAAUUGCUGAAAGGGAAGCGCUUGCGAUCAGACUCGCUCGCGGGGUUCAGCCGGCCUUCGGGCCGGUGUACUUCCCCGCGGGCGGGCCAGCGUCGGUUUGGGCGGCCGGUCAAAGGCCCCUGGAAUGUAACGCCUCUCGGGGCGUCUUAUAGCCAGGGGUGCCAUGCGGCCUGCCCGGACCGAGGAACGCGCUUCGGCUCGGACGCUGGCAUAAUGGUCGUAAGCGACCCGUCU
rnacentral:rRNA from 1 species